GAUUAACGCUGGCGGCGUGCAUAACACAUUCAAGUCGAACGGUGACGGGGCUUCGGCCCCUGAUCAGUGGCGGACGGGUGAGUAACGCGUGAGCAACCUACCUCUUGGUGAGGGAUAACAACCGGAAACAGUUGCUAAUACCUCAUGAAACAGCAGCAUCGCAUGGUGCAACUGUCAAAGAUUUAUUGCCAAGAGAUGAGCUUGCGUCUGAUUAGCUAGUUGGUGAGGUAACGGCUCACCAAGGCGACGAUCGGUAGCCGGACCGAGAGGUUGAACGGCCACAUUGGAACUGAGAUACGGUCCAGACUCCUACGGGAGGCAGCAGUGGGGAAUAUUGGGCAAUGGGCGAAAGCCUGACCCAGCGACGCCGCGUGAGGGAAGAAGAUCUUCGGAUUGUAAACCUUAGUCAACAGGGAAGAAGAAAGUGACGGUACCUGUGGAGGAAGCCACGGCUAACUACGUGCCAGCCGCCGCGGUAACAC
rnacentral:rRNA from 1 species